ensembl:lncRNA
GUCGUUCGUCGGCGUCUUUACAGUAAAGGUUGUCGUUCGUCGGCGUCUUUACAGUAAGGUUGUCGUUCGUCGGCGUCUUUACAGUAAAGGUUGUCGUUCGUCGGCGUCUUUACAGUAAAGGUUGUCGUUCGUCGGCGUCUUUACAGUAAAGGUUGUCGUUCGUCGGCGUCUUUACAGUAAAGGUUGUCGUUCGUCGGCGUCUUUACAGUAAGGCUGUCGUUCGUCGGCGUCUUUACAGUAAAGGUUGUCGUUCGUCGGCGUCUUUACAGUAAGGCUGUCGUUCGUCGGCGUCUUUACAGUAAGGCUGUCGUUCGUCGGCGUCUUUACAGUAAAGGUUGUCGUUCGUCGGCGUCUUUACAGUAAAGGCUGUCGUUCGUCGGCGUCUUUACAGUAAAGGCUGUCGUUCGUCGGCGUCUUUACAGUAAGGUUGUCGUUCGUCGGCGUCUUUACAGUAAGGUUGUCGUUCGUCGGCGUCUUUACAGUAAGGCUGUCGUUCGUCGGCGUCUUUACAGUAAAGGCUGUCGUUCGUCGGCGUCUUUACAGUAAAGGUUGUCGUUCGUCGGCGUCUUUACAGUAAAGGUUGUCGUUCGUCGGCGUCUUUACAGUAAAGGUUGUCGUUCGUCGGCGUCUUUACAGUAAAGGCUGUCGUUCGUCGGCGUCUUUACAGUAAAGGUUGUCGUUCGUCGGCGUCUUUACAGUAAAGGUUGUCGUUCGUCGGCGUCUUUACAGUAAAGGUUGUCGUUCAUCGGCGUCUUUACAGUAAAGGUUGUCGUUCGUCAGUGUCUUUACAGGAAGCUGGACAUUUGUCAGCGUUUUUAACAUUGCGCUAAUCAUUUGUUAGUGUUUUUUUCAGAACAGUUAAUGUGCUACUUCAGAAUGUGUGAAAUCAUUCACUUUCUGUAGAAAUCUCUGGUGAAAUGCUAGAACAUACAAAAUGAACAGUGGUAGUCCAUAUCUGGCUUCAUAUGUAUGCAAAUUACACUGGAACUAUCUUGGAGCUAACAUAACACUGGUUAGCUGUUAGCACAAAACAGGUUUGCUUGUGCAAACAGACGUAGGCUGCCUUCAAAUCCUAUCGGAAAUCUCUUCCUGAGUGUGCAGAGAGCUCUGUGUCUCCGAACGCCGUGCAUGCACGAUACUGCUCAUCCUAAGCACACAGUAGCCCAAGAGCUCAACUAUACUGAAUAAAACAUUGAACACAAUAUAUUUUGUCACCAUGUUACACAUUUAAUACAUCUGUUACUAACAGACUCGUAGUAUACUUUUCCAGAUUAACAAAGUAAUAAUGGAACAAUUUAUCAAUUAUACAAAUAGUAGUUAGUUGCGGCACUGAUGAAAAUAAAUAAUUUGCAGGAAUGAUCGUGAUCGGAAGCUUUUUUUGGUCCGACUACACAACCGUUCGUUCUGGUCUACUAAUCUGACUGGACUAGAGGUGUUCCAAGAGUGCUGAUGUUUAGAACAACAGUCCUGCUACAGUACGUUUCACUGUUUGUCUGUGUUCACUACAUAAAAUUCCAGCUCUAGCAAUAGUUCACUGCAUUGAAACCGUUACUACACUUUCUAUGCGCUGUCAAUCAGUCUGUGUGGUGGCAUGGCAACGCCCAACACACUACCCCAGCUUUGGCUUCUUUGGGAAUUAUUUUGACGGAGCACAGAAAAACUAAAUAUUUGGCCAUAUUGUUAAUAUUAACUUGAAUUACUUGAUAUUAAUUUCUUGUUUAUAGAACUGUUGUAUAAAAGCAAUAUCACAAGACUCCAUUACUAAAGAAAAGG